CUUCGGGCUCUGUGCAACGAUUCCCCGCAAACCCCGCCAGGCCCGGAAGGGAGCAACGGUAGCGGGUCAGCUUCGUGUGCCGCGGAUCACCCGAAGUUC
rnacentral:SRP_RNA from 1 species